GGACUUUUUGAUAGCUCUGACUGAGCCUCUGGUGGGUAGAGGAAGGAGAUGCUGUUAAUAUUUAUCCUAAAACACGCAGGACCAAGACCAAAACCAAAACCAAAAACCACACAGGGCAGUCCUCACAACAAAGAAGUAUCUGGUCCAAAAUGUCAGCGGUCCCAGGGCUGAAAGCCUGAGCUCGAAGAUGCAGGUCCUGUAGGAGUCCUCUCCCUGCUCAGGGCCCAGUGAUAGGUCCUUGGGCCCCGAGUUCCUCCCAAACUUUCAACCCAAGUAUUUAUUUACUUAGUUUACUUCUAACAAUAAUAAAUCUAACCCAAGGCCCACAUCUGCUGUGAAAUUCGCUUCUCCUAAGGAAGGCGGUGGGUAUAGGAAAGGCCCCUGACAGGGGUGGUGGAACCCGGAAAAAGGCACCACCUCUUGGCCUCAGUGUCACCAUUUGUAAACGAGAACACUGAACAAAACGAUCUCUAAUGGCCCUUCAGUCCCAAAACCCUGUAUGUGAGGAUUUUUCAGUCUUAGUUGUACCCAGUUAGGGUCACUGGAAAAGGAAAUGACUCAGAAAUGCAAUGGGGGAAGUCUGAGGGGUGACUCAGGCUUUCCUAGUCAUAAAAGACGCUUCAGACAUGUACCAGAGCAGAACUCAUGACCGCUGAAUGAUGCCAGGACUUUCCUCCGUAUAUUCCAGGCGGUGAUUUCCAUAUUAGGUGAUUUAGCAACAGUAAGUUGCCUCUACAAAAAAGAAAAAAUAACAAAAAAAAUCCCUCCGAGGUCUGAAUGUUUGAAUUUCUACCAUGAGAGUUUUAUCUCCAAUGAAAAAUAGAAAUAUUCUAGCAUAGGUACAAGUUUGGUGUUACUGAGUUUGGGACUCUGAAGUAAAUAGCUGGCACUAAAUCAAGAAUGAUGCUUGUUGGUGCGUAUGUAGACCUAGCUAAUAUGAUUUGAGAAAAGUUCGUGUACUGUGUAAAUCCUAUUCAGUCUUUUCAAUC